rnacentral:rRNA from 1 species
CCUACGGGGGGCAGCAGUGGGGAAUAUUGGACAAUGGGGGCAACCCUGAUCCAGCCAUCCCGCGUGUGUGAAGAAGGCCCUCGGGUUGUAAAGCACUUUCAGUGAGGAAGAACGCCUGGUGGUUAAUACCCAUCAGGAAAGACAUCACUCACAGAAGAAGCACCGGCUAACUCCGUGCCAGCAGCCGCGGUAAUACGGAGGGUGCGAGCGUUAAUCGGAAUUACUGGGCGUAAAGCGCGCGUAGGUGGCUUGAUAAGCCGGUUGUGAAAGCCCCGGGCUCAACCUGGGAACGGCAUCCGGAACUGUCAAGCUAGAGUGCAGGAGAGGAAGGUAGAAUUCCCGGUGUAGCGGUGAAAUGCGUAGAGAUCGGGAGGAAUACCAGUGGCGAAGGCGGCCUUCUGGACUGACACUGACACUGAGGUGCGAAAGCGUGGGUAGCAAACAGGAUUAGAUACCCCAGUAGUC